AACUAAAUAAAUUUUUCGAAAAUUUUCCUCUACUUCCCCCUAAAAUUUGCUUCUUAAAAUCCCUAAAUCGCUUCAAUACAUUAGCAGAUAUUGCCACAAAUUCUCUUGUUUGCAUGAUGAUUUCUGCAAAAGCUCCCCAGAAUCAGAAACUACGAUAACGAAGUAGGAGAAAGAUCACGGAGACCAAGGAAGAGGUUACCAUUUGAGGAAUCACGAGGGAGAUGAAGUAGCGUUCCG
rnacentral:misc_RNA from 1 species